GACGAACGCUGGCGGCGUGCUUAACACAUGCAAGUCGAACGGAAAGGCCCUGCUUUUGUGGGGUGCUCGAGUGGCGAACGGGUGAGUAACACGUGAGUAACCUGCCCUUGACUUUGGGAUAACUUCAGGAAACUGGGGCUAAUACCGGAUAGGAGCUCCUGCUGCAUGGUGGGGGUUGGAAAGUUUCGGCGGUUGGGGAUGGACUCGCGGCUUAUCAGCUUGUUGGUGGGGUAGUGGCUUACCAAGGCUUUGACGGGUAGCCGGCCUGAGAGGGUGACCGGCCACAUUGGGACUCAGAUACGGCCCAGACUCCUACGGGAGGCAGAAGUGGGGAAUAUUGCACAAUGGGCGGAAGCCUGAUGCAGCAACGCCGCGUGCGGGAUGACGGCCUUCGGGUUGUAAACCGCUUUCGCCUGUGACGAAGCGUGAGUGACGGUAAUGGGUAAAGAAGCACCGGCUAACUACGUG
rnacentral:rRNA from 1 species